ACGGGAGGCAGCAGUGGGGAAUAUUGCACAAUGGGGGAAACCCUGAUGCAGCGACGCCGCGUGAGUGAAGAAGUUAUUCGUAAUGUAAAGCUCUAUCAGCAGGGAAGAAAAUGACGGUACCUGACUAAGAAGCCCCGGCUAACUACGUGCCAGCAGCCGCGGUAAUACGUAGGGGGCAAGCGUUAUCCGGAUUUACUGGGUGUAAAGGGAGCGUAGACGGCGAUGCAAGUCUGAAGUGAAAGGCGGGGGCUCAACCCUUGGACUGCUUUGGAAACUGUAUUGCUAGAGUGCAGGAGAGGUAAGUGGAAUUCCUAGUGUAGCGGUGAAAUGCUUAGAUAUUAGGAGGAACACCAGUGGCGAAGGCGGCUUACUGGACUGUAACUGACGUUGAGGCUCGAAAGCGUGGGGAGCAAACAGGAUUAGAUACCCUGGUA
rnacentral:rRNA from 1 species